UAAUACGUAGGGUCCGAGCGUUGUCCGGAAUUAUUGGGCGUAAAGGGCUCGUAGGCGGUUUGUCACGUCGGGAGUGAAAACUCAGGGCUCAACCCUGAGCGUGCUUCCGAUACGGGCAGACUAGAGGUAUGCAGGGGAGAACGGAAUUCCUGGUGUAGCGGUGGAAUGCGCAGAUAUCAGGAGGAACACCGGUGGCGAAGGCGGUUCUCUGGGCAUUACCUGACGCUGAGGAGCGAAAGCAUGGGGAGCGAACAGGAUUAGAUACCCUGGUAGUCCAUGCCGUAAACGUUGGGCGCUAGGUGUGGGGACCUUCCACGGUCUCCGUGCCGCAGCUAACGCAUUAAGCGCCCCGCCUGGGGAGUACGGCCGCAAGGCUA
rnacentral:rRNA from 1 species